GAGAGAUUGGUUUGGACAAACUACUCGCCAACCCGGUCAGGUCUGAAAAGAAGCAGCCGUAACGAGCUUUGUUUGGGUCAUUUCCAGUCUCUCACU
rnacentral:SRP_RNA from 1 species